rnacentral:lncRNA from 1 species
CUCGCUUACACCUAUACUACAACUCUCACCUAUAGCGUCCUAUAGAUUAGAAUACUCAAAAGAGUUGUGAACCAGAACAUACAUAAUUAGUAAUUGCAUAAUGAAUUAGAAGUAGAUUACCAGAGUCAUCCCAUGAGCAAGCUUGAUUAGAGCUUGAUCAUGACGAACUACAACCGGAGGAAGAACCGACAGGCCGGCCUCUCCUCCAAUCCUCCCUCGCUGUCCAUCUUGCUACUAUCUAGAUCUACUCUAGUUUAGAGAAGAGAGGAGAGCUCUCAUCUCUAAACCCUAGCUUUUGCUCUAUCUAUGAAUAAUGAAUAAUGAUCAAGGGGAGCCUCCUCCAGGGGCCAGGGGGUCUAGUUAUAUAGUCCCCUCAAUUGAACCUGGGCCGUCGGAUCAAACCGACAUUGAUUGAACGGUUAUUCUUGAUCCUUUAGGUCGGUGGAGAUCUCCCGAGAGAAAGAGUCCCGAUUGGACUCCAGAGGUGGGCGGGCGCCCAGGGAAACAGGGCGGGCGCCCUGCCUCUGGCCCCUCUCGGCCUCCCGUUCGUUCCCGUGGCUUCUGGAGUCUUUUAGAUGUAAGAUAAUUGUGCGGCACGUUAAUAUCUCUAUGUAAUCCCGACUUGUGGGCCUUUCUUUCGUAUUUCCUGAUAACCCCCUACAGAAAUAGACAAACACCAAAACUCGUGGAAUUCUGUCAGAUAAAACCCUAAGUCUAGAUGUUGAUUUCAUUUGGAUCCUUUUCUUUGUUUUUUUGAUAAUUAAAUUUGAUACUUAAGGACCGUCAACAAACUCCCCCAAGCUUACCUCUUGCUCGUCUCUGAGCAAGGAUAGACUCAGCAAUGGAUCAGAAGUUGUUGCAAUAUUUUAAAAAUUUGACGGUACACAUGCUUUUAAAUAAGAUCUCAUCUCUGAGUUAGAGUAAACUGUCAAGAACUGAAACUUACUUACUUUACCUUUCACCAUGGGACUUGUAACCGUCACUUCUGUCUUGAGUAGUUAAAAGAUAGAACAGUCUAGCCAAGUGCCAUGUCUCUUAUUCUUGAUCAGCUAUAGCUCUGGAGUUUUCGCAGAUUUUCAAAUAAAACUCAGAGAUUCCUUGUAUGACUAUCUAAAUCUCUCUUUUGUGGUAUUUCUGGAUCCUUACCAAGGCAGUGAUGGUAUAUGCCUUCUCUCAAGAUAUGUGGUAUUUGUGGUAUAAGGCAUAGUGACAUUGCCUUCUCGCUCACCCUACUUUAAUAAGGCUUCAAUAUCUGGAGCUCAUAGGUGGGAGAUAAAGUAUACAUACUUACAAGACAUUUAUUGUAUAGUCAAACCAUGGAUCCAAAUAAACAAAUCAAUAAGCCAAAUCAAGAUGUGCAUGUGUGGCGAAUGAAUGGUGUAUGGUGAUUAUGGUGAUAACAAUGGUGAAAGUCUAAUUCUACUUUUGCUCUUUUGAGGGGAUACAUACCUUCCUUGCUUUUUGAAACUUUAUGAGGAGAAUGAGAUGCUCUUCUUUUUCUUUCCUCUUAGGUGGGUAUCUUGUACCCCUAAUUCUACUGUCGGACACUUGUCCAUUUUUACCUCUCGUCUCACUUUUUCUUUCUUUCGAGGUUCCGGGCACUUGCCCCUUUUUAUUUCCUCGUUUAUUUUUUUCUUUUCUUCUCUUUUCUUUUUUUUUCAGAGCACUCAUCUCUUGAGAUAAUAUAGCAAGUGGUAGUAGCAAGAUAACUUGAGCAUUUAUUUCACAAGGGAAAACAGAAAUAUUUUUGGCUAUUCUCUCCCGGAUUAGGAGUAGAAUAUUUUUGGGUGGUUCUGGAGAUGGACAUGGAUGGAUGUAUGUGGAUGGUACUUCCAGAGUAGAAGUAGCAUAUAUGAGUGAACGUGCAAGUGAAUCUUGAUUUAACCACAUGACAAGCUCCUAAGGGUCUACACAGCUAGACCACACUCAAUGCUCAUAAGCAGUAAAUAGUAAAUGUGUGGCUCAAAGUCUAGCAAGCAUGUAUAUAUGGCUGUGGUAGGAAUUUAAACUCUCAUCAUACAGGAACUCAUCAUGCAAUAUUUUAAAGAUUUUUCAAAGAUAAAAUUCUCCAGAAUUCUAGCAUCUCUAGGAAUAGAUAAACAGCAGCUCAACCUUCCCAUAUCAUAUCCGUUAACAACUUAGAUUUCAAAUCAAGUUUUCAUCCCACAAGUUUAGUUCUAGAGCAAGCUUUAAAUUAUAACAGUUAUGUCUAAACUUGAGAGAGAACUUCAAAUUUGCAAAUUAGACAGAGCAACUAUUCAUCAUAUCCAUGCUAGAGUUUUAUUAUUAAGAUUCAGAUUAGCAUAGCCACUUUAUUUAUUUAUUAAACACACUAAGAAAAGAUAUAUAUAAGCACAAAAUCUUUAUUUGGUCUUUCAUAGUUUAUGUAUUUUAAUAUUCUAAUAUAAUAUAAGUAUAAAGAUAGGUAGAAAUACUUAGCGAGAUAAAUGGGGUGCUCUCCCCCAAGCUGAAUUUUGACGUAAUUUCUCUUGAUGUAGCUAGCAGGUGGCAGAGGUGUAUUUGAAAGUCAGCAGCAUUCUGACAGCGAUUAGAAUGUCCUCCGUCUGCUAGUCUUCUUGAUUCUUAAAUUCUGUGGAGCUCAAAUAGACAACAAAGCUUGUGGAACUAAUUAAGUGUUAGCAUAAAUAUCUAGCCUUCAUCAUGUUGAGCUUUCUCAAUAAAUAUUACUCCCUGUUUUUAUAUUUUUAUUUUAUAAAGCAGAAAAGAAAUAUUUAUUUUAUUUUUAUGCCACCACAGUGAAGGUACUUAUGGGUUUUAUGCCACUCGUAUACUCACAUGGGGCUUACUAUAUUUUAACAUUUUUAUUUUCUUUUCAAGAUAGCAUGAUUAACUAAUAAUCUAUUUAAGGAAAGUAAAUAAUUAAAGGGAAAAGGGAAUGCAGAAAGGAUAAAUAUGGAUAACUAUCGAUCUUACCUUUCGGCGAGGGUUCAAUGUUUUAAGUCUUCUUAACAAGACUUCUCACCGUGUUCAUUCUUCAGGUGCGUCAUUUGAUUCAGGUGCGGACCAUGACGUCUGCACCUCUUGAUACGGUGUCACCCAUGUUCUUCGUUUGCCCAGCAGUUCGAAGUGCGGCGUUGGCAGUAACCUGCUCAGUGUGUUUGUGCUCGUAGACCUAGGUCCUUCACUUGGUAGAGUCUGAGAGUUAUAAAACUCCUCCGUGUCUUGCUCAAAGUGUACCUGCUCAUAGAGACAAGGCAGAGAUCAAGUGCAUGGGUCCUGUUGGUGGAAAACACCAACAGAACCUAAAGUGUAUUUGUUCUUGUUGACACCGUUUUUGGGCACGUGUCUAGGAUGGCAGGAUAGGGUGGCAGUACGAUGCGGGUUGCUGAUGAGGAUGGUUGCCGAUGAGGGAGAGGUUGAAUGUGACUAAGUCCACAGGCAGUAAUAUGGUGCCGAUGGCUGGAUAAAAAGGUCUGCCGAUGACUAUGGCAAGGGGAUUGCCGAUGAUGCAAAGGAGGAGUCCGGAAGCUGCCAGUUGUCAUGUGGAGGAGUUUCGGUUUGUCGCGAAGGAUAGUUUUAUUAUUUCCUUAAUUAUUUGCAUCGUUUUGUAUACGGAUUCCGUGUAAUUUGGAAUUCGAAUUCUAAUCGUGUCUGGUUGUAGCUCUUUGAGCAGGGUAUAAAUAUACACCCUAGGACCUUGUAAUAAUCAAUCAAGAAAUCAAUCAAACACACGUUUUUACUCAUAUUCCAGCAUCUACUUUUCGACGACUUCGUCAUACUUUUUUCUUUUUAUUACGAGUUCUUAGGAAUUCGUCGACUUAAGCUCGGCGUGUUCUCGAGUUCCGCGUGAGUACCUCUUAGCCGUGACAUCCGGGCGCAUCGCUGUUGUCAGGACUGAAGUAUUCCAGUUAUCACCUUUGCCGAUAGUAAGGUCAAAUCGGCUGGCACGCCUUAACGUUUGAAUCGGGUAUAUAAUACGAUUGCUUCUUCUCCUUUUGGAUCAAGUUGGCAGUUUAUAAUUGGUCUAUAAUGACUGCCAACAACCGAAUCGCCGCACAUUUGUCAAUGAGGUCGUACUAUACACAAGGAAAUGGGCCCCACUAAUUGGAGUGAAGAGUUGGAAGCAAUUACAGGCUUUAGUCAAAGAAAAAAUUAUGGAAGAGAUAUUGGUAUGAAGUGAACUAUUUUUAAUUCCUUCUCGUGUGCUCAGUAAAACUAAUUGCGAUAAACCAUUUGGUUGCUUUCUAAUUCUAAACAGCUUAAGUGGAACUUUGUCAACAUUGACGAUGUGGAUAAAAGAAAAGAGAAAAUAUGGAGCAUUGCAUAGGAUCGGUACACAGGAUGGCAAGCAACUCUGAGUACAACAUAUAGGGCAUCAAUUAUUAUGCUGAGAGGAUGAGGAACAUACCUGAGGAGAUAAACCUUGUUGAGUGGUGUUGACACUAGCUAACAGCACUUGAAUACUAGGUUGUCAUCCACAGCAUGGCACUAGAGUGUACUAUGGUAUUUAUACGCACACAGAUAAUCCGCAAGCGCACGGAUACCGUUGAAGCUUUUACCCGGUUAAAGGUUUUAUCGUAUCCACAGGGAAACAGGAGAACUGAUCUAUGCUCUAACUUAACCAAGAUAAGUAAAUAGGUGUAAAUAGGAAAGAUGGUAGAAUCGAAUAAGAACAAUAUUAAAGGUAAGAUAACAAUAGGUGAUAAUAUAGGAAUAGAGAGUAGAGCAAUUCUAGUAUAUGGGCGAUGGUAGCAGAAUAGAGAGGAUAACUAUGGUUUCUCUACUUCAAAGGGGUAUGUCUAUGUCUGGGACAAACCACGUGAUAAGAGUACACCACAAAGGAUGCUUAUCCUUAGGCCGAUAAACCCUACCCGUCCUGCUAACGAGAGGUGGACUACAGAGGACCAACGUAACUGUCACCUACGCGGCCUACCACACGAUCCAGCUAGACAGGGGAUAUCCACAAGUAAUCUAGAUCUAAGCACCUCGCUUACACCUAUACUACAACUCUCACCUAUAGCGUCCUAUAGAUUAGAAUACUCAAAAGAGUUGUGAACCAGAACAUACAUAAUUAGUAAUUGCAUAAUGAAUUAGAAGUAGAUUACCAGAGUCAUCCCAUGAGCAAGCUUGAUUAGAGCUUGAUCAUGACGAACUACAACCGGAGGAAGAACCGACAGGCCGGCCUCUCCUCCAAUCCUCCCUCGCUGUCCAUCUUGCUACUAUCUAGAUCUACUCUAGUUUAGAGAAGAGAGGAGAGCUCUCAUCUCUAAACCCUAGCUUUUGCUCUAUCUAUGAAUAAUGAAUAAUGAUCAAGGGGAGCCUCCUCCAGGGGCCAGGGGGUCUAGUUAUAUAGUCCCCUCAAUUGAACCUGGGCCGUCGGAUCAAACCGACAUUGAUUGAACGGUUAUUCUUGAUCCUUUAGGUCGGUGGAGAUCUCCCGAGAGAAAGAGUCCCGAUUGGACUCCAGAGGUGGGCGGGCGCCCAGGGAAACAGGGCGGGCGCCCUGCCUCUGGCCCCUCUCGGCCUCCCGUUCGUUCCCGUGGCUUCUGGAGUCUUUUAGAUGUAAGAUAAUUGUGCGGCACGUUAAUAUCUCUAUGUAAUCCCGACUUGUGGGCCUUUCUUUCGUAUUUCCUGAUAACCCCCUACAGAAAUAGACAAACACCAAAACUCGUGGAAUUCUGUCAGAUAAAACCCUAAGUCUAGAUGUUGAUUUCAUUUGGAUCCUUUUCUUUGUUUUUUUGAUAAUUAAAUUUGAUACUUAAGGACCGUCAACAAACUCCCCCAAGCUUACCUCUUGCUCGUCUCUGAGCAAGGAUAGACUCAGCAAUGGAUCAGAAGUUGUUGCAAUAUUUUAAAAAUUUGACGGUACACAUGCUUUUAAAUAAGAUCUCAUCUCUGAGUUAGAGUAAACUGUCAAGAACUGAAACUUACUUACUUUAUCUUUCACCAUGGGACUUGUAACCGUCACUUCUGUCUUGAGUAGUUAAAAGAUAGAACAGUCUAGCCAAGUGCCAUGUCUCUUAUUCUUGAUCAGCUAUAGCUCUGGAGUUUUCGCAGAUUUUCAAAUAAAACUCAGAGAUUCCUUGUAUGACUAUCUAAAUCUCUCUUUUGUGGUAUUUCUGGAUCCUUACCAAGGCAGUGAUGGUAUAUGCCUUCUCUCAAGAUAUGUGGUAUUUGUGGUAUAAGGCAUAGUGACAUUGCCUUCUCGCUCACCCUACUUUAAUAAGGCUUCAAUAUCUGGAGCUCAUAGGUGGGAGAUAAAGUAUACAUACUUACAAGACAUUUAUUGUAUAGUCAAACCAUGGAUCCAAAUAAACAAAUCAAUAAGCCAAAUCAAGAUGUGCAUGUGUGGCGAAUGAAUGGUGUAUGGUGAUUAUGGUGAUAACAAUGGUGAAAGUCUAAUUCUACUUUUGCUCUUUUGAGGGGAUACAUACCUUCCUUGCUUUUUGAAACUUUAUGAGGAGAAUGAGAUGCUCUUCUUUUUCUUUCCUCUUAGGUGGGUAUCUUGUACCCCUAAUUCUACUGUCGGACACUUGUCCAUUUUUACCUCUCGUCUCACUUUUUCUUUCUUUCGAGGUUCCGGGCACUUGCCCCUUUUUAUUUCCUCGUUUAUUUUUUUCUUUUCUUCUCUUUUCUUUUUUUUUCAGAGCACUCAUCUCUUGAGAUAAUAUAGCAAGUGGUAGUAGCAAGAUAACUUGAGCAUUUAUUUCACAAGGGAAAACAGAAAUAUUUUUGGCUAUUCUCUCCCGGAUUAGGAGUAGAAUAUUUUUGGGUGGUUCUGGAGAUGGACAUGGAUGGAUGUAUGUGGAUGGUACUUCCAGAGUAGAAGUAGCAUAUAUGAGUGAACGUGCAAGUGAAUCUUGAUUUAACCACAUGACAAGCUCCUAAGGGUCUACACAGCUAGACCACACUCAAUGCUCAUAAGCAGUAAAUAGUAAAUGUGUGGCUCAAAGUCUAGCAAGCAUGUAUAUAUGGCUGUGGUAGGAAUUUAAACUCUCAUCAUACAGGAACUCAUCAUGCAAUAUUUUAAAGAUUUUUCAAAGAUAAAAUUCUCCAGAAUUCUAGCAUCUCUAGGAAUAGAUAAACAGCAGCUCAACCUUCCCAUAUCAUAUCCGUUAACAACUUAGAUUUCAAAUCAAGUUUUCAUCCCACAAGUUUAGUUCUAGAGCAAGCUUUAAAUUAUAACAGUUAUGUCUAAACUUGAGAGAGAACUUCAAAUUUGCAAAUUAGACAGAGCAACUAUUCAUCAUAUCCAUGCUAGAGUUUUAUUAUUAAGAUUCAGAUUAGCAUAGCCACUUUAUUUAUUUAUUAAACACACUAAGAAAAGAUAUAUAUAAGCACAAAAUCUUUAUUUGGUCUUUCAUAGUUUAUGUAUUUUAAUAUUCUAAUAUAAUAUAAGUAUAAAGAUAGGUAGAAAUACUUAGCGAGAUAAAUGGGGUGCUCUCCCCCAAGCUGAAUUUUGACGUAAUUUCUCUUGAUGUAGCUAGCAGGUGGCAGAGGUGUAUUUGAAAGUCAGCAGCAUUCUGACAGCGAUUAGAAUGUCCUCCGUCUGCUAGUCUUCUUGAUUCUUAAAUUCUGUGGAGCUCAAAUAGACAACAAAGCUUGUGGAACUAAUUAAGUGUUAGCAUAAAUAUCUAGCCUUCAUCAUGUUGAGCUUUCUCAAUAAAUAUUACUCCCUGUUUUUAUAUUUUUAUUUUAUAAAGCAGAAAAGAAAUAUUUAUUUUAUUUUUAUGCCACCACAGUGAAGGUACUUAUGGGUUUUAUGCCACUCGUAUACUCACAUGGGGCUUACUAUAUUUUAACAUUUUUAUUUUCUUUUCAAGAUAGCAUGAUUAACUAAUAAUCUAUUUAAGGAAAGUAAAUAAUUAAAGGGAAAAGGGAAUGCAGAAAGGAUAAAUAUGGAUAACUAUCGAUCUUACCUUUCGGCGAGGGUUCAAUGUUUUAAGUCUUCUUAACAAGACUUCUCACCGUGUUCAUUCUUCAGGUGCGUCAUUUGAUUCAGGUGCGGACCAUGACGUCUGCACCUCUUGAUACGGUGUCACCCAUGUUCUUCGUUUGCCCAGCAGUUCGAAGUGCGGCGUUGGCAGUAACCUGCUCAGUGUGUUUGUGCUCGUAGACCUAGGUCCUUCACUUGGUAGAGUCUGAGAGUUAUAAAACUCCUCCGUGUCUUGCUCAAAGUGUACCUGCUCAUAGAGACAAGGCAGAGAUCAAGUGCAUGGGUCCUGUUGGUGGAAAACACCAACAGAACCUAAAGUGUAUUUGUUCUUGUUGACACCGUUUUUGGGCACGUGUCUAGGAUGGCAGGAUAGGGUGGCAGUACGAUGCGGGUUGCUGAUGAGGAUGGUUGCCGAUGAGGGAGAGGUUGAAUGUGACUAAGUCCACAGGCAGUAAUAUGGUGCCGAUGGCUGGAUAAAAAGGUCUGCCGAUGACUAUGGCAAGGGGAUUGCCGAUGAUGCAAAGGAGGAGUCCGGAAGCUGCCAGUUGUCAUGUGGAGGAGUUUCGGUUUGUCGCGAAGGAUAGUUUUAUUAUUUCCUUAAUUAUUUGCAUCGUUUUGUAUACGGAUUCCGUGUAAUUUGGAAUUCGAAUUCUAAUCGUGUCUGGUUGUAGCUCUUUGAGCAGGGUAUAAAUAUACACCCUAGGACCUUGUAAUAAUCAAUCAAGAAAUCAAUCAAACACACGUUUUUACUCAUAUUCCAGCAUCUACUUUUCGACGACUUCGUCAUACUUUUUUCUUUUUAUUACGAGUUCUUAGGAAUUCGUCGACUUAAGCUCGGCGUGUUCUCGAGUUCCGCGUGAGUACCUCUUAGCCGUGACAUCCGGGCGCAUCGCUGUUGUCAGGACUGAAGUAUUCCAGUUAUCACCUUUGCCGAUAGUAAGGUCAAAUCGGCUGGCACGCCUUAACGUUUGAAUCGGGUAUUAGCCCUUUGUGUUUGCAGAUCAGUUUUGCAUCAACACAUCUUUUGGCACGCUCGGUGGGACAGAUUCAAGAUCA